AAAAGUUCACUAAUUUCAGCAGUUCUCGCCUCUUCUUGUGCUCCUCUGUUUUUUUCUUGGCAGGUCCCUCAUCAGCUGGAGAAAGGUCCUCGUAGGCGAUGCCAUCAACGUCUAUUUCACCAGGUCUGAAGCUACAGAGAAAGUGAAGGAAGCUGGAACUUGUCUGAGGAAGUUCCUCUUUCCUGGAAGCACACACAGGUACAAAAAAUAAAAUAAAAAUAAAAGAGAGUCAUUAAAGAACCCAUAACACCUGAGAGCCCCUGACAACUGCCUUCUGAAGUGGUAAAGCUAUUCCUGAGGGAGUGUGGAGCCUAAGAAGUUGGCAACACACGUGGCCUGAAAGAAUCUGCUCUCCACUACUAUGAAAGUCACCCAGAGUAGUUAGUCCCUGAGAAGAGAUGACAGAAUUCUUCAAACAUGAUUCAGAACAAAAGUUACCAUGGAAGAGGCUAUUUAUAUGAAGGGGAAAAAUGGAUUAUUCUGGUACAUUUAAUCAUCAAAACAGGAUGAUUAAUUUUAAAGGAAUUAGAAUACACCACAGUACAUAUUACUGAAAACGAUCAACUAAACUCAAGUUCUAUUGGACUGUUUACAAGAACAUCAGAAGUUCUGGGAUCCUGUGACUUCUCACAGCACCUGCGCCACAGCACCGUGUACACACCACCGUGCAGAUGUGACAUGGGAGUCUCCCUCCUCACACUUGGGUGUACCCAGGAGAGUGUGGAGUAACAGUUUAAAACUUUAGGGCCAGCAAACAAUUGUGAUUCAGCCCUGAGUAAAUUAAGGGAUGUCUAGAUCACAAGGAAAUAUAACAAAAUACCUUGGGGAAAAAUUUUAAAUCAUCUCACUGGCAUAAGCACUUUGAGAAUCCAAAAUGGGUCUGUCUUCCUCAAAGUUAAUGAUGAGAAAGAGCACCAUGAACACAUAGUAACAUUCUGUGAGAGCCAGUCUCCAGAC